CUCAGACUGAGCCUCAGUGGCAGAAUAGAAGCUUUUGGGUUCAAGAGAAAUGGAAGAUCCUAAGUUCCCAGCUGGAGUUUCACAGGAGAGGGACGGAGAGAUAGCGAGAGGAGGGGGAGAUCGGGUUUCUCAGCCGCUCUGUACCCUAAUCCUGGAUUUGGAGACGGGAUGAGAAGAACGCAGGGACUGAGAGUUAUGCUUGACUGAGCCAAACAGGAGAGGACAAGACAAGAAGGCGGCAUAAAAGGUGGAAGAAGAAAAGACGC